rnacentral:rRNA from 1 species
UACGGAGGGGGUUAGCGUUACUCGGAAUUACUGGGCGUAAAGCAUGCGCAGGCGGUUUUGUAAGUCUGUUGUGAGAUCCCCGGGCUUAACCUGGGAAUGGCAAUGGAGACUGCAAGGCUAGAGUUUGGCAGAGGGGGGUAGAAUUCCACGUGUAGCAGUGAAAUGCGUAGAGAUGUGGAGGAACACCGAUGGCGAAGGCAGCCCCCUGGGUCAAGACUGACGCUCAUGCACGAAAGCGUGGGGAGCAAACAGG